rnacentral:rRNA from 1 species
GGAUUGAUGCAUCGGUCGUGCCUUAAGGGGUAUGAACUGGUGUAGUCAGUUUCUCACCUUCUGGAGAACCGCGAUGUCCUUAAUUGGGUGCCGCGAGGAACCAGGACCUUUACUUUGAAAAAAUUAGAGUGUUUAAAGCAGGCAUUUUGCUUGAAUACAUUAGCAUGGAAUAAUAAAAUAGGACGGAUGGUUCUAUUUUGUUGGUUUCUAGGAUCACCGUAAUGAUUAAUAGGGAUAGUUG